AGGAGGGUAACAUACAAUAUAUAUAUACAAGAAAAAAUUGUAUCCAGGGACACGGAUGUCCCAGCUGACAUUCAUAAGACAUAUAAAGAUCAAUAAUUGAACAAAAUUCACGAACAAGUUCAAUAAACAUCUAUGCAACUAUGAGAUACACACCUUUCGAGUCCCAGUGAAACACAUGUACAAGCUUAAUCAAUUUUGUUGAGCAGUUUUUGUGGAGAAGUGGAUAGA